CAAGAAUUAAUCAAGAUUCAAACAAACACAACAAACAGUAAAAUAAAGUGCAGAAAAUUGUAAAUGAACACAAGAUUUUUUCGGUUAAAGCCCCAGAGAUUCGACGACCACUUCUAACGCCUAUUCCCUGUUGAGCAUCCAUUAAAAUGGAUAAAGCUCGAUUGCACUAUAAAGCCCCAAAAAUCAAGCAACAAAAUACAAUAAUGUUUUAGUAAUACUACAGAAAAAAGUCACCAAGACUUAUCUUUAAAAUAAGGCACAAUUUACGCCUCACUCCACUAAGGAAUUAAAAUCUGGAUCACAUAGAUCACCAUAACCAAACUGCCCUCAUAGAAUCACUAAGAUUCAUACACAAUCAACAGAGAAGAGCACCCUACUAUAUGCAUCUAUAGCAUUACACGGUUUCGCAAAUUUAAUUGCUGAAAACAUUCAAGAAUCGACUCUAAUCCACAAAGGAGAAGGAAGUCUUCACCAAGAAGAGAGAACCGAAGAAGCCGACUCUAAAAACCAAGAAUAAAGCCUCUCUCACAGAUCUGAAAUUCACCAAAAAUGGAGUCUAAACACAGGAAAGAAAACCGACCAGAAAGUCUGUCCCAAAACCAAGAAUAUUUCUCCCCAAAGUCUCCAAAAUAAAAGACCUAAAAUCACCAAGAAUGGAGUCUUUCUCACAAGGAAGAAGAGAGAGAGUUCGGACUUCAAAAUGAAAAUUAAUCUCUCAAAAAUGUUGCUGCCGUCCAGUGAGAAUUGCAUCAGAAAGGAAAGUUAAUUCAGGGAAGAAGAAGACUCAAAAAGGAACGACUUGAACCCUAGUAUUUCUCUCACUUCUUUCUGCCGAAACCAAGAACAGAGUCUCUGAAUUUUUCUCUCAAAUCUGCUGGUCAACUAAGUCAGGUAAGAAUAUAUAAUUGGAAG
rnacentral:lncRNA from 1 species